rnacentral:rRNA from 1 species
AGAGUUUGAUCCUGGCUCAGGACGAACGCUGGCGGCACGCUUAACACAUGCAAGUCGAACGAGAGAAGAGGAGCUUGCUUUUCUGAUCUAGUGGCGGACGGGUGAGUAACACGUGAGCAAUCUGCCUUUCAGAGGGGGAUACCGAUUGGAAACGAUCGUUAAUACCGCAUAACAUAAUUGAACCGCAUGAUUUGAUUAUCAAAGAUUUAUCGCUGAAAGAUGAGCUCGCGUCUGAUUAGCUAGUUGGUAAGGUAACGGCUUACCAAGGCGACGAUCAGUAGCCGGACUGAGAGGUUGAUCGGCCACAUUGGGACUGAGACACGGCCCAGACUCCUACGGGAGGCAGCAGUGGGGAAUAUUGCACAAUGGAGGAAACUCUGAUGCAGCGAUGCCGCGUGAGGGAAGAAGGUUUUAGGAUUGUAAACCUCUGUCUUCAGGGACGAAAAAAGACGGUACCUGAGGAGGAAGCUCCGGCUAACUACGUGCCAGCAGCCGCGGUAAUACGUAGGGAGCGAGCGUUGUCCGGAAUUACUGGGUGUAAAGGGAGCGUAGGCGGGAUCGCAAGUCAGAUGUGAAAACUAUGGGCUUAACCCAUAAACUGCAUUUGAAACUGUGGUUCUUGAGUGAAGUAGAGGUAAGCGGAAUUCCUAGUGUAGCGGUGAAAUGCGUAGAUAUUAGGAGGAACAUCAGUGGCGAAGGCGGCUUACUGGGCUUUAACUGACGCUGAGGCUCGAAAGCGUGGGGAGUAAACAGGAUUAGAUACCCUGGUAGUCCACGCCGUAAACGAUGAUUACUAGGUGUGGGGGGACUGACCCCUUCCGUGCCGCAGCAAACGCAAUAAGUAAUCCACCUGGGGAGUACGACCGCAAGGUUGAAACUCAAAGGAAUUGACGGGGGCCCGCACAAGCAGUGGAGUAUGUGGAUUAAUUCGAAGCAACGCGAAGAACCUUACCAGGUCUUGACAUCGUAUGCAUAGCUCAGAGAUGAGUGAAAUCUCUUCGGAGACAUAUAGACAGGUGGUGCAUGGUUGUCGUCAGCUCGUGUCGUGAGAUGUUGGGUUAAGUCCCGCAACGAGCGCAACCCUUACUGUUAGUUGCUACGCAAGAGCACUCUAGCAGGACUGCCGUUGACAAAACGGAGGAAGGUGGGGAUGACGUCAAAUCAUCAUGCCCCUUAUGACCUGGGCCUCACACGUACUACAAUGGCUGUCAACAGAGGGAAGCAAAGCCGCGAGGUGGAGCGAACCCCUAAAAGCAGUCUUAGUUCGGAUUGUAGGCUGCAACCCGCCUACAUGAAGUCGGAAUUGCUAGUAAUCGCAGAUCAGCAUGCUGCGGUGAAUACGUUCCCGGGCCUUGUAC